CCUCGCGCUCUCUCUCGCGCUCGCUCGCUCGCUCCAGUAUGUAAAUGUGUAAUAGAAGCCAAAUAUGGAGCAGUUGGCUGCCGCCGCCGCAGCUCAAGGAUCCGACUUCAUGGGGGGGGGGGGGGGAGAGGCACCCUCUGGCAGGCGGCCCGGCGAGCCGCACAGAGCACGGCGAGCGCACGGCGCGGCUGCCGGCCCGCGCCCUUAACCCUUCUAUGCACCCGGGCUGGGGCAGCGCUCGCUCCAGGGGAGGCCGGGUGUCUCUCCGCAACUGCGACUCCAGAUCCCGGACACCGACCGGAGGGAACUGUGCCUUCCAGGUUUGAGAAAGGGGCGGGGAAGUUGGGGCGAUGAGGUCAUUGGAGUGGUGACCGAUCGGUGCUCGCGCGCCUCCCCGGCUCCCUGCAACCUAGUUGGAGGGGGACAGGGUGAGUGCAGGGUGCAACUCAGGCAACCUGGGAGACUCAGAGCAACGGGUGUCAGGCUUUGACUCCCACCUGGUAAAAUACCCAAGGGGGCGGGGAAGUCGGCUGAUUCUAAUUACGAAGCACCCAGGGUGCCCCUGGUGAGCAUCUAAGAGGACUCUUUGUAUCCCCGCGGUUAACUAGCCAGCCCGCCAGUCCUGAGCCACCCGAUGCUAGGCCGGUGCCUUCUGCCUUGGCUUGCAACUCCGGAAAGUUCUCAGGCUUCCCCAGCUUGCACCGGCACCCUCACCUUUCCUGCCUGGACAAGCUGGCGACCUCCUGGGCCUCCUUUCAAAUUCUGCUGGUCUAGAAAUCUGCUAUGAGCAUCGAACGUCUCAGCUCUAGCCCUGGUAACCGAACUGCUGCUCACUCCUCACAGCUAACUGUGGACCAUUCAUCUCAUCUCAAGUGAGGUAACCCGUGCACUGAGCAGUGGAUGGUGGUUCUCGGGAAUCCAAGGCGAAAGAACUUCCCACCUUGGCCCGGUGGCUAAACGCAGACGCGGAGUCCCCACCCGCCCCCUCCGGCUACACCUCAGCCGGGUGUGAGCUCCGUGGGAAGGAAUCUUCUCCGGAGGAGUGCACCUUGCCAACAGGUGUGGCAUCCGAAGGAAGAGCCCGCACCUCCCCAGGAGGGUCGCUCGGUGUGGCGAUCUCUUUGCUGCAGAUAAUUCUUGAAGACCAGUAGGUGUCAGGCCAGCAUCUGACCUCUUUCAGGUGCUUAAAACUAAGAGUCUGGAAACUUGAUCCCUUGGUCUCGCUGGAAGCCACUACUAUUGACUGUAGCUGGAUUUGAGAGACCUUUUGGCUCAGUUUACGUAGGACCUAACAGUUAGUCACUAUCUGAAGCAGCGUACAGAGUCACCGAGAGAAACGUGUGAGCUUUUAAACUACUGUAUUGUGGAGCCCGCACUUCAGAAGUUAAAAAAGAAAUGCCGUGUGUGUGUGUGUGUGUGUGUGUGUGUGUGUGUGUGUGUGUGUGUGUGUGUGUGUGUAGGAUACAAAUCUAUUCUCAGGUUUUGAAACACCGUGCACACAUCCACGGUUGUUUAAAUAGAACUACAACUGUUCUCUUCCCCCUCCCCGCCCCCACCGCCCCUCUCCCCCGUAACUGUGUUGUUCACUUAAAGAUCCAUGAUUGUUAGACUUCAUAUGCUAAAGUGACAUUACUGGUCUCCUUACAGCCUCUAGUGGACGGUUAAAGUGAGUUUCCUGUGGAGGCUCUGUCUAGUUUUGUUUUCCCUUCUGCACUUUCUCCAGGUGAAGGUUAAUAGUUCAGAGCUUAACUGACUGCUAUCUUUCACUCCCUCUUGGUAAAGCUGUCUUUGAAACUGAACAGAAGCUUGUUGGCUGCGUGUGGAAGAGAGGCGUCUGCUUUGUGCUACAGGGUUUGGUCCAGAUGCUCAUGGCUGGCCCACCAGUACCUCUCAGAAACGCACCCUGAAAUGCCAUGACACUGAGAGCCACAGACUACACUGGUUGCGAUGGCUGAGAGGUAAGAGGGCAGUUGUAUAACUCUUGAGCAAGGUUAGUCUUGCAAGCUUCUGUUAGCCUUUCACCUUUGUAAACCAGACCAGAUCUGAAGACAAAAUAUGCCUCAGCUCAGUGCCCCGCCUACCAAAGACCAUCAAAGUUGGAGUGGUAAACAUUUAUUUAUUUUGGUCUCUUUAGAAUUGUUAAAAAGUCUUGCCUCCCACGGUAGGGAAGUGCGUGCCAAGUUUCUGCUUGGAACAAUUUGUUAUGGCUAUGCGAUAAUCCUGGAAAGUUUGAAUUUUUAAUGGAAAUCCUGACGCCAGACCGUGAACCAUGCGCUCCUACAGAAAGGGUGUUAUCCUAUAUGUCCUUUUAAAAGCUGAGCAAGCUGGGGUGGUUACGGAACAAAUACACUUGGCCAAGAUUGGGCUUCUCAAUAAGCCUGGGGAGAAAUGAACCAGAAUGAUAAAGCAACGUAGAAACAAAAGUGAAAGCCGUCCACACAAUAGACUCUGGGGUCAGUGGGCCACACCCUAGCUGAAGUCCCGAGGCUCUGUGUACAGCAUACAGACACAGACCUGCUUCAGGACCACGGGCUCGGUCUACCCAACUGCAGCAGCACAGGCUUCCUGGUGGUGAAACGACAUCACCAAUGCUCAAGAAUGGAGUGACACAGAGUUGAAGGUCAAGUCACGUGACAAAGGAGCGCACAUUUGGGUUUUGCCAUCUUGCUCGAUCUGAAUCUAAGCUCUUCUUCUUGGUGCUCAGUCUGGAAGGAAAACAAAAGGCCGUCAUACAAAAGCACCGGAAGAGGAGAAAAGGAACAGAAGGCGAUGGUGGUCGGACGUGAUGCCUAUGGAAUCGGACAGGUAAAACUGGGCAGAGAACAAAGGUGUGUGGGCCUGGGCGGUGAGAAUUAGGAGUGAGGCUCAGAACCCCGCUGCUUUAGAAAAUAACCAGAAUCCGCAUCGGUGGGGAAGCCUGUGAGAACUUCCGGAACCAGGACGCAUACCCAAUCGGAAUCUGCCUUUUAACAAGAGUUCCAGGAAUUUCUGUACGUGGUUGUACCAGUACCAGAUCUGAUUGGUACCACUGGCCUUGGGCAUAUUAGCAGAGGGGACUGUUUUGUCUAUGGAGGGAUCUGGCAUUUCCAUUGCUCCAGGAUGACUUCCACUUUCAAUAUUCUCUUUAGCACCGUGACCAAAGCCGGUAGUUUCACUCUGUCUGGGUUUCUCUGUUCUCUGAUCUCCGCAGAGAGCCCAUGGACCUCUGCAAUCUUGGCUUGGGUCUUGUGCCUCUCCAAACUGCUGAGCUUCCGGUAGAAAGUGGAUGUGACUCUGCACCCCGCCCCCCUCUAGGGGAAGGACAGCCAUGUCUGGAUUGAUAACCGGAAGCCAUGACUGAUUCUGACUUUUGUCACCCAGAUUUCAUUCAACACCGCUGACUAUUAGGUUUGUCCCCUUUCCAUUGACAGGUGCUUCCCUUGACCCUGCGGGCUCUGGACUCAGCACCCCCUACCAAAGGGGCAGAGGCCAGGAGAGGCCAAUAGAAACAUAUCACAGCACCUUCUCGCUCUUAGCGAGUCCAGGAUCCCACGUACCUGUUCUGCAAGACCAUGCAAUUCCAAAGAUGGUCUUUUCUGCCCUUUAAGUUAAAAGCAGCUUAAGAAUAAAAGAGGGUAUAAAACCAGCCCAACCAUUUUGCAUAGCUGCUGUAUUGUCCCCCCUGCCUUCCCUACUGAGGACUUUGCUGUCUGAUAUAUUUUAUAAAAACAGUCCAAUUCCCGCAGAAGCUUCAUAAUUUCUCCGGUUGCUACACACCUAGUUCAUUCUGACUGCUGAUAUUUACCUCCCGCCAUGCUCAAUUUAUAGCAGUUCGUAAAUUACAUCAAGUACAGAGUGCAUCUGCUACUGGGGUUUAAGCCAGGAUAAAACGGCAUGGAAGGCUCAACAAGGCUGACAGUUAAGGAAGGGUCCUUUCAAGUGACUAUUACUCCCUCCUAAUGACUACUAAUGAACUCACCGUGUUGUUCUCUUUCUUUUUUUCCUCCUUUUAUUGUAUGUGGGCAUGUAUGUAUGCGUGUUCCCGUGUAUGUGGGUAUGCGUAUAGUGUGUGCAACUGUCUGCAGAGGCAUCGAGUGUCUCCCCUGAGCCUCGAUGCUCUUCCUCCUUACUCUUUGAGGCAGAGUCUCUCAAUCAAACUCAGAGCUUGAUGAUCUGGUCAUCUUGCUCCAGGGAGCCUCUGCUUCUGCCUUUCAAGGCUAGAAUUAUGGGCCAGCGUGAUGACCUGGCAUUUAUACAGGUUCUAGAGAUCCGAACUCCCAUCCUUCUGCUUGUACAAGGAACACUUUUACUACUGAGCCAUCUCCCAAGUCUGAAUUAACUGUGUCUUUAAGAAUGUUUUAUCAUUUCCAUUCCUAGGAACUAUUCUGGUGAUUCGGAAAAAAAAAAAGAGGAAGAGAAAGCAAACAGAAGUGUGGCGGCACCCCAGUAGCAAAGCAAUGGUGUGGGUGUUGUUUCUAUUACUUACAUACAUAACGCUUCUCACAGAAUCCAAAUGUCUUACAAAAGGAAGCACAACACAAAUUCCGAUAGAGAUGCCACAACACAGAGCGCUACAAAGACAACAAUUACCCAAGGAAAUGUAAAUCUGGUAGAAAUCGUUUACAUAGAAAGAAUGGGAAGACACAGACGAUGGAUGCCCCACCCUCAAGAGCUCCCAAUGAUCACCUACAACAGCAACGAUGGAGGUGCCUUUAAAUAUCAACCAAGGCCAGAAUAUCUCACAGGCACACCGGGUAAGCGACAAGUGCCCUGCUCUCUUCCCCAUCUUUCCCCCAGCUUUCCCAUCCCUGGGGAGUAUGAAGCCCCCAUACCCCUAAGAGCUAAAGAACAAGAGAAAGGGAGGGGAGAGAAGCCAUUGCUCUUCAAAACCAAGCUGAGGCUGCAUUGUUACACAGAGCUUUGCACCUUAGUUUCUCGCAUUAUGCUUAUGACAUCUUAUUACCUGGAAGUGACCAGGAAAACGAAAUUUAUGCUAAGUUUUCUUUAAGAGCUGCGCAAAUGUUGAGCCCAUAGAAUAAAUCUGAUGGUUUGCUUUAUGAUGGAUUACAUCCUAUGACUCACACUCCUUCAAUGGAGCAGUUACAUAACUACGUCUGAAUGCAGUUGGAGGGAGCAGUUCUUCAUCCCUUCUAUACAUUUUUCUUUAUGAACACACUGUUUCUGUCUGAACUCUGAAAAAUCAUGUCAAAUUAUAGAGAAUUUUGUGCCUUCGCUUCCUGUUUAACAACACUUACAAAACAUCUAAAAUGAACCCCAUCUGGUGCUUGCUGCCCAUCCGAGGACCAAUAAUUGUUGAACUAAUGAGCAAAAAAAGUGAUCGGUUAACGAAAUACAGAUUUCAGAGGCUCAUUAUAAACCUGGCUGUACCCAGAUCAUUCUCUGCCAAAAUAAGAAAUACCCCAUGUUUGUGAUUUCUGAGCUAUUCCUGCCACACCCUCUACUCAUAUCAAACUAUGAAAUCUUAGUAAUCGGAUACUGAGGGAGUGAUUUUGAACAAUCCCUUAAUUUUAUCUACGAAGACUGUAUUCAUGAUUUAUUGCUGCUGUAACAAAAUCUCUGACAAAAGUUACCUUAAGAAUGGGUUUAUUUGGGCUCAUGGUUUGGGUGAGCAUUGUCACCCAAUGGGGUGGGAAGGCACAGCAGCAACUGAGGAGGUAGGUCACAUUCAGAGGAAAGACAACAGUGAACGGCGGUCCUCAGCUCAUGUUCCUUUUUUAUUUAUCUAGAACUCCAUCCCAUGGAAGGAUGAACUCUUGAAGUCUAGAUGCUGGGGCAAGCAUGAGCUUUGAUGGUGUGCUCAAGCAUCUGGACUUAAUAUAGUCAGUCAGAAUACAGACUAGGGAUUUAGUUCAGUGGUCAGAAGCUACUGAAGUGUGUUCUGCAACAUAGUGACAGUAAGUCCCAUUACAGUUUGGGUAAUGGUUGUGCUUGGGGCAUUAUAGGUAAAGAGUCCAGUUGGCAAAGGAUCAAAUUCAUGUAAGAAAAAUGACAGUGGGCAUGAGAAGGGCCUAAGAACUUCAGAGGUGUGUAUUAUAGACUAUUGAAUUAUUUCACACUUCAGACUCAUAUAUUCAAGUCCUGGUACUGAAUAUGUUUCCAAUAGGCCUUUGGAGAUGAUUAGAUUUCGAUGAGAGUGAAUUCUCUCAUGAUAGCAAUAUUGUUCUAAGAAGAAGGGUCAGACAAGCUCUGAAAGUUUGUGAACUUGACACAAUCUAGAAUCACCUACUAAAAGUCCCAGUGAAGAAUUGUGUAGAGUAGGAGGUCCCUACAGGUAUGCUUGUGGGAAUUAUCUUCCAUUGAGGUGGGAAGACCUGAGGCCUGUGGAACUGUGGGUGGCAUCAUUCCCUAGGAAGGAGAUCUUGGAUUGUAUAAGUAUGUAGAAAGUGAAACAAACACUAAUGUGAAUUCAUUAACUCAUUCCUCUCUACUCAUAACUGUGGCUGUGAUGUAACCAGUUGCUUCAGGUUCCUGGAACCUAUAAUUCUCCACAACAAUGGCCUGUAACAUGAUGAAUUCUUUCUCAAGUUGCUUUUGUCUGGGCAACAAACAACAAAAUUGAACCAUCCCUUUGUUUUUUUUGUCACAUGAGGGUAUGCCCACAAGUCAUCUAGCUACAAGCCAGGAAGAAAACCCACACCACAGACCAACCAUUCUGGGUCUUUCUCCUUGUGUUCUGGCACAAGGAAGUGAGUAGUUUUUAAACUAGCUAACUGUGGCGUUUUGUUAUAGAAGCAUAAAUUAAUAAACAGUGAAAGUGGAGUAGAAAUAUAGUGUCUAUUAGAUAGGGAAUCAACUGAAAGAGGAAUCAUGGUUUGGAUGAGAAUCAAAGUGGAUUAGUCAGGGAUACUGUUCAGUCAUGCCCCAGUUUCCGUUCCAAAUACUAUGACAGACAGAAGACUGUGAGAGAAGCCACAUAGGGAAGUUAAUUUCAGCUCACAGUUCCAAGUUACAGUGUACCCUGGAAGGAAAAUGACAGGGGCAGAAGCUUGAAGCACCUAAUCACACCCAUGGUCAAGAGCAGAGAGAAUGAAUGAACCCACAUGUACUUCUCAGCUCACCUUUCCUACUCUUAGUCUAUGACUCAGUCGGAAAUGCUGCCACCCAUAACGGGCUGGGUCUUCCCACAUCCAUCCGUGUAAUCGGGAUACUCUGCCACAAACAUGCCCACAAGCCAAUGGAGCUAGGCAAUUCCUCAUUCCUGACACUCUCCACAGGUGAGUCUAGAUUGCUUUCAACUGAAAACUAACCCCAUAGUCAACCCCAUCUCAAACAGAAUGAAAGACAACAAUCAAGACAAAAGAUAACUGACAUAUGUCAGGAAAAGAAAGUGCUUGACCAAAAUUUCAAGGUAUAAUAAAAACACUUUGAUGAGGGCCAUUGGAAUAAAAACAUAUUUAAUGAGGGCCACUAAAAGUGCUUGUUCUGCAAACCUGACUCUUUGAAUUUGAUCCAUAGACAUUCGUAGAUGAACUACAACUAAGAGUUUGUCACCAACAAAGCAGAAAUUUCUGAGGGAAAAAAAUGUUCUUUAAAUGAAGAAAAAAUGGUAUAUAAAAACUUGGAUAGGUAUAAUAGACUCUUCCUCUUUUCUGGGUUUCCUAAAUUAUGUUUGACAAUGAAAGCAAAAAUCAUAGCAUGGCCUGAUAUGGUUCUAGACAACAUAGAGGAAAUAACUAAGACACUUAUAUUUUGAAAUGGGGAGGUAGAGAAGGGCUUUGUCUCAGGGUUUCAAUUGCUGUGAUAAAACACCAUGACUUAAAGCACCGUAAAGAGGAAAGGGAUAUUUCAUCUGACAACUCGUAGUCUAUCAUCCAGGGAAGUCAGGGCAGGAACUCAAGGUAAGAACCUGGAGGCAGGAACUGAUAGAGAGGCCAUGCUGUGGAGGAACACAGUUUACUGACUUGCUCUUCAUGGAUAUCUCAGCCUCCUUUCUUAUAGCACAGAAUUGCCCAUCACUGGUACAUUGAGCUGGGUCUUUUCCCAUCCAUUAUUAAUCAAGAAGAAAUACUACAGAUUUUGCCAAAAUCCAAGGUAAUAGGACAAUUUCCUCAAUCAAUUGAGGGUUCCUCUUAUCAAAUAUCUCUAGUUUGUGUUUAGUUGACAUGAAAUUAGCAGUAUACAGCUGUCCACUGUAAUUGAACCGACAAAACAAUUGCACUAAGGACUAUGAAAAAUUAUGAAAAUACAAUAAUCACUACAAAAGUUAUAGACAGGGGCUGGGGAUUUAGCUCAGUGGUA
rnacentral:sRNA from 1 species